rnacentral:rRNA from 1 species
GACGAACCGUGCGAACGUUGUUCGGAAUUACUGGGCGUAAAGGGCGCGUAGGUGGCCUUCUAAGUUGAACGUGAAAUCCCUGGGCUCAACCCAGGAACUGCGUCCAAGACUGGGAGGCUUGAAUCCGGGAGAGGGAUGCGGAAUUCCAGGUGUAGCGGUGAAAUGCGUAGAUAUCUGGAGGAACACCGGUGGCGAAGGCGGCAUCCUGGACCGGUAUUGACACUGAGGCGCGAAAGCCAGGGGAGCAAACGGG